AAAGUCCCAAACAAUAAAGAAGUAGCGAUUCAUAUUGUCCCCGAGUCAUGCGUGACGUACUGCGAGGUACGGCGCGAAGCGUUGACAGGGGUACACAUAGGCCAGCCAUUGAGCCGCGAAAUGGACAUACCCCGAGUGCCGACACCGUGUCUGUGGUGCAAGGCAACACGACUGUGCGCGAUAAACGCGAGUGCACAGCCGACUCGGCGUGGUCAUAGAACC
rfam:Comamonadaceae bacterium CG2_30_57_122 cg2_3.0_scaffold_10258_c, whole genome shotgun sequence.